GACGAACGCUGGCGGCGUGCUUAACACAUGCAAGUCGAGCGGUAAGGCCCUUUCGGGGGUACACGAGCGGCGAACGGGUGAGUAACACGUGGGUGACCUGCCCUCAGCUCUGGGAUAAGCCUGGGAAACUGGGUCUAAUACUGGAUAUGACUCCACGGUGCAUGUCGUGGGGUGGAAAGCCUUGUGCGGCUGAGGAUGGGCCCGCGGCCUAUCAGUCUU
rnacentral:rRNA from 1 species